CACGUCAACAGCAUUUUAUAUAACUUAUACGCAGGGAGUCAGGAAACAGCUGAUCUCUCACCCCAAUGGGGACGUAGAUGCGCUCUGGAGGGCAGGUGGCAGGAGGGUGUUCCCGAGCCUGGCGGAUAUCCACUUCACCGCCCCAAAACACGGGGCCAACGAUACGGGAGGACCGAUUGAUGGGCUGGAGGACACUCACUGCCGUGGAACCACAGGGUGUGACCAGGAGAUGGUGGGGUUAUGAAGUUGGAGCCAUGGGAGGCCGACUGUGUACGGGUGCAGUGAUGAGGAAGGGAAGGAUUUCCUGGUGCUUGGGUCCCACAGUGAGGGGUGCUGUGACGGAUUCCAAUGGUUGCAUAUCCAGGACAGGAAAAGGAGAGGAGAGCGGGCAUGAAGUUAAGUUCAGGGAGGAGGUAAGGCGGCAAGGGCCUGGUCGAUGAAGUUCCCCACGGCACCGGAGUCCACUAAAGCUGUAGAACCGACACAUGAGGGACAGCUAGCCAGAGAAAGGUUUUGGUGGAGAAUGAUAACAGAAUUCUCAUGACUACCCUGGGAGACAGAAGGUCACAGGGCUGUUCCUCUGCUCUAGUGGACCCCUGGUUGGGAUGCACCGACCACCACUGAAGCUGCUGCCCCACCUGGCUGCAAUAGGGACAAAGCCUCAGCUGUCUCUGGUGAAGCCGCUCUGCCACGGAGAGGUGUGUGGUCCCUACUUCCAUGGGUUCAGGCUCUGCUUCAGGGCAGCCAAAGGAGGGAGGUGAGUGGCAAGUUGGACACCGGCGCUCCUGAAGAAGGUUAUCCAGACGGCUGGCCAUUGCGAUGAGAGCGUCCAAGGAUUUGUCAUCAUCCUGACAUGCCAGUUCUGUCUGGACCGCAUUGCGCAGUCCACUGCGGAAUAGAGUGUGGUGCACCGGCUCAUUUAAUUCGCUCACCUCCCUCGAAGACCGCCCUGAACCUCUCACAGGAAUCCAGCUCAUCCUCUCUCUCAGACGCCCAUCCGGUCAGCAGGGAAAUGACAAUGGCAACCUUGGACCUCUUGGUGGGGGCUCCCGUCUGAUAGGCGAAAUAGAGGGAGCACUGGAGUAGGAAGCGACGGCAUUUUGAUGGAGUGCCGUAAUACUUCUCCAGAAGGGACAGUUGGGCAUCGCUGACCUGGGUGGACGGCUGGGUAGGCUGGGGGACUGGCUCCUUGUGACGACCCAUAGAAGGAGGCCCUCAGUCAGAGGGAUGGAGAACCUUGCUAGUGGUGUCGAGGCGUUGGAGAACCUCCUUCAUGGUCAUACCCAGUAGAGACAGCUGGUCAUGGUGUUGGUGGAGUAGAUGACCAUGUUCCUCGACAGUCUGGAAGAUGGUGUAAUCUUCUGCUGCCAUAAUUUCUGAGGCAGUAAUCUAUAACAUAUACACAGGAAGUCAAGAAGCAG
rnacentral:lncRNA from 1 species